CUUUCGGGCUUUCAAUUGCAGAUACAUCACCGGCUUAUAUGAAAUUUAAAAUCCCAGAAGCUUUUGCAUCUCUUUCUCCCCCCAUGAAACAGGAAUGCCUGUCAGCAUCAUAAGGAAAAAAGUGAACAGUUAAUCUUCAAAGAAGAAAAUUGGAAUAUGCAUGCAUGGAAGUAUAAUUUAAGAAUGAAGUUCCUUCUCUUGCGAACUCAUAUACCCAGCCAGGUUAUUCCUUGCAAACAUAUCUGAAUGCAUAGAUACGCAUCUUGAACUAGAAGGGAGCAAAAUCUGGGACAAGAAGGUCUCCAACACUUCGAGUUGAUCCAACAAACUCAGAUGGGCAUGAAGAACUAGAAGUUACAGUAUUGUGAUAGCUGACUGGUUUCCCACUACCGGAGAUUCCAAUGGAUUCAAUAUGUGGUGAUGGAACCAAAACCUUUAAAUUCAAUAUAUGGUUUCCCACUACUGGUUUCCCUCUACUGUCAACAGCUACAAAACAUCUUUUCAUGCCUUUCCUCUCUUCAUCGUUCAAUAAGCUUUCUCUCUCCACAGGCUUCCUGAGGAGCUUUUCUCUCAUUAGUCUCUCUUGCUUUGCCAUGUCAAAUUCUGGGUAUACAAUUUGACAGGGUAAAGCAAGAGAGACUAAUGAGAGAAAAGCCCUCAAGAUACCUAUAGAUAGUGAAAGCUUAUUGAAUGAUGAAGAGAGAGAAAGGCGUGUAAAGAUGUUUUGGAGUUGUUGACAGUGUGGAAAAUGUUCUGCAAUUCGAAAAAAAUUAGAGUUUGAACUCUGAUAUGGCUGAACCUGAUUUGCCUCAAGAAUUCAGGCAGCGAAUAAUGGAGUUGGAAGGCAUUGAUAUAGUGUUGGUACUUCAAAAGGAGCUCUUCAAGACUGACGUAAGCAAGGAUCAAACUCGUUUCUCAAUUUCAAAGAACCAAGUCAAGAAUAUGUUUCUCAUAACAGAUCAAGAGAUGAGAAUACAUAAACAUGAUGCCAAGAAAUGGAUGACUAUAGAAGUACUACUGAUCGAACCAGAUCUUCAAGAGAGUAGGCUGAAUCUCAAAAUAUGGGAUAUGAAGAAGGUAUCAGGAAGCAGCAACUCACCUUAUGUCCUAGUAGGCGGCUGGUAUCCAAUUGCAAAGAGAAAUGACUUGAAGGUAAAUGAUCUUGUUCAAUUAUGGGCAUUUUGAAGAGGCUCAGAACUCUGUUUUGCUCUUGUGGUUGUGCAAAUAGCACAAGUUGAAGAUGGAAACAACAGCAGCAAUGCAGAUGGUGCAAGCACAAGUUAGAAGACCACUAGAAUUAUCUGAAUGAUUUUCAGUGUGUAGUUUCAUUAGAAUCACCCGUUUGAAUGUAAAUUAAUAUAAUCUGAGUUAACCGAGUCAAAGAGAGGCCUUGAAAAUUAUUUGCUUUUGAUUUCUUCUCUCUGUAUUAUGAGGCGUGCAUUUAGAUGACUAACAUAUCAUACAGUUUUUUAUUUGAGAUUAAUAUAUAAGAGGAUUGCAGUUACUAAAA